rnacentral:rRNA from 1 species
AAUGCAUCGGAACAUGUCCUAGAGUGGGGGAUAACGCAUUGAAAAAUGUGCUAAUACCGCAUAAUCUUCGAGAAGAAAAGCAGGGGAUCGCAAGACCUUGUGCUUUAGGAAUUGGCCGGAAUUGUUCUGAUUAGCUAGUUGGUUAAGGUUAAAAAGCUUACCAAGGCGAACGAUCAGUAGCUGGUCUGAGAGGACGAUCAGCCACACUGGGACUGAGACACGGCCCAGACUCCUACGGGAGGCAGCAGUGGGGAAUUUUGGACAAUGGGCGAAAGCCUGAUCCAGCAAUGCCGCGUGAGUGAAGAAGGCCUUCGGGUUGUAAAGCUCUUUCAGUCGAGAAGAAAAAGCUAUAUUAAAUAAAUAUAGCUAAUGACGGUAUCGAAAGAAGAAGCACCGGCUAACUACGUGCCAGCAGCCGCGGUAAUACGUAGGGUGCGAGCGUUAAUCGGAAUUACUGGGCGUAAAGGGUGCGCAGGCGGUACUGUAAGUCAGAUGUGAAAUCCCCGGGCUUAACCUGGGAACUGCGUUUGAAACUACAGAACUAGAGUGUAGUAGAGGGAGGCGGAAUUCCAUGUGUAGCAGUGAAAUGCGUAGAGAUAUGGAAGAACAUCGAUGGCGAAGGCAGCCUCCUGGAUUAACACUGACGCUCAUGCACGAAAGCGUGGGGAGCAAACAGGAUUAGAUACCCUGGUAGUCCACGCCCUAAACGAUGUCAACUAGUUGUUAGGCUUUAAAAAGCUUAGUAACGUAGCUAACGCAUGAAGUUGACCGCCUGGGGAGUACGGUCGCAAGAUUAAAACUCAAAGGAAUUGACGGGGACCCGCACAAGCGGUGGAUUAUGUGGAUUAAUUCGAUGCAACGCGAAAAACCUUACCUA